rnacentral:lncRNA from 12 species
AUGAUUUGCUACAGAUCCUUGGCAUCCAAUUUAUUCCAGACCGCUGGCUUUGCUCAUCCUUAUUGGCAGGGGGCGGGAAGGGGGUUCCGGACAACAGCCCUGGGGGAGCCCCCAGCUCCGGAGUCUGAGAUCCAGGCAUCUGUACACCUGGCGUCUGGUGACAACCUCUGUCCUGGUUCCCGGCCGGGUCUUCUAGCCGUGUCCUCCCGAGGGGAAGGGGCCAGGGGGCUCCCCGGGGACUCUUUCGUGGGGACGCAAAUCCCUCUUGGGGUCCCACCCUCGGGACCUCGUCACCUGCCGAAGGCCCUGCUGUCACACUGUCACCUCGGCCGUCAGGCUCCAGCUCACGGGGGACCCAGAGGACAAUCCAGCAGGGUCCUCAGACGCUCGUCCCCAACGGGCCGGGCCGGCCUGCCCCUGGGCGUCCUUCUUCACUGCACGCCGCAGGAGGGCCACCGCUCAGCCGAGGCGCCGGUCCCCACGUGCGUGGGCACAGCUGUUGUCUGCGAGGCUUCCCAGCGGCCACCUGGCAGGUGGAGGCAGCUUGCACAGAGCGGCUGCAGGGGGACACUGAGCCACCGGCAGGAGCCAAAGGACGGCGCGGGGCCCAGGGCGGAUGUGACGCCUGGCCUCAGGUGGCAGGCACGGGCGACCGACUGGCUGGCCGGGUGCUUCAGCCGCACCAGCCAGCAGGGCCGGCGCCACCAGGACAGGUGCCCGAGGACGUCACUGUUGUUCUGACACCUGCAAACACGCUGUCUCGGCUCUUCAUCGCAUUUGACUUAUUUAUCGCAUUUUCUGCACGAGUCCGUUUGCUCAGAGUUUCCGAGAAGACACGGAACAGCACCGUGGGUGGAACUAACGGGACACAUCGUUCCCGUAGAGACAGCGUGAGCGGCCGUGAGCCACUGCUUCCCGUCGCCGCGCCCCGGACGCUGGCCACCGCCCCCCGAAUCUGCGUCCGAGCCGGGAGUGGCCCUGCGGUGCCGGGGACAGGGCGGGUGGGUCAGUGGGGCCUGUCACAGCCCGGCCCCAGGCGGGGUGCCCAGCCAGCCUUGCCCUUGACGGGGCGGCCCCGCUCGACGGCGCCCGUACUUGCACCUAAGGUGAGUGGCUGGUGGCACCUGCCGGCUGUGACGUUUGCCCAUUAGGGAAGGGCUGUCUUUUUGUUCAUGCGGGAUACUCUCCUUUUUAGGGGACGUUUCUCUCUUCGGAAAAAUAAAAAGGCCUCCUUGCGCUCA